UACGGAGGAUGCAAGCGUUAUCCGGAAUGAUUGGGCGUAAAGCGUCCGCAGGUGGCAAUGUAAGUCUGCUGUCAAAGCGUCUGGCUCAACCAGAUAAGGGCAGUGGAAACUACAUAGCUAGAGUAAGGUAGGGGUAGAGGGAAUUCCUGGUGUAGCGGUGAAAUGCGUAGAGAUCAGGAAGAACACCGGUGGCGAAGGCGGCUCUCUGGGACGGUACUGACGCUGAGACGCGAAAGCGUGGGGAGCGAACAGG
rnacentral:rRNA from 1 species